rnacentral:lncRNA from 1 species
GGAGGGUUUACGGAUCUGUGGGGUUCGGAGAACAGAGGGUUGAGAUUGCUUCAAAGGCGGCAUAUAUGGUCUUUGAUGAGCUCCGCCGCGCGCGGACGUGAUGAAAUGGGAAUGCCUCUGACGGUAGCGCCAUGAAGCGGCGUUGUUGGUGAUGUCAAUAAGAACAAAUCUCGAAUUCAAAGCUCUCAUUUCCCUUUACGAUGAAUUUUAUUUUCUCUCUGUGUUUGGUCUUGGUUUUGUAGGAAGGGGAAAGGAAAGGAAAGAAGAUAUGAGAAGCAAGGAGAAAGAAGAAGAUUCGAAGGGAUCUCCUCUGGGAUUGGAGAGAAAGUGGGACCCCAACAGAGGAAAGGCAGGCAUUAGCGACCAUGGAAGUUGUGGAGGUUGAUUGAGAG